CCAUUUAAAGUGGUACGCGAGCUGGGUUUAGAACGUCGUGAGACAGUUCGGUCCCUAUCUGCCGUGGGCGCUGGAGAACUGAGGGGGGCUGCUCCUAGUACGAGAGGACCGGAGUGGACGCAUCACUGGUGUUCGGGUUGUCAUGCCAAUGGCACUGCCCGGUAGCUAAAUGCGGAAGAGAUAAGUGCUGAAAGCAUCUAAGCACGAAACUUGCCCCGAGAUGAGUUCUCCCUGACUCCUUGAGAGUCCUGAAGGAACGUUGAAGACGACGACGUUGAUAGGCCGGGUGUGUAAGCGCAGCGAUGCGUUGAGCUAACCGGUACUAAUGAACCGUGAGGCUUAACCUU
rnacentral:rRNA from 1 species